ACGGCGAGUGAACAGGCAAGAGCUUCAGAUUUGAAAGGCACUUUCGUGCCAUUUCGUAUUCUGAAGUUAGGAUUCUUGGAACCGGUACCUAAGUUUUCUGGAAAGAAACGCCAUAGAGGGUGAUAGCCCCGUACGGUAUUGACCCAAUAUAGUUUCCUAACAUGGAGUCGAGUUGUUUGGGAAUGCAGCUCAAAUGGGUGGUAUGCUCCAUCUAAGGCUAAAUAUUUGCGAGAGACCGAUAGCGAACAAGUACUGUGAAGGAAAGAUGAAAAGAACUUUGAAAAGAGAGUGAAAUAGUACGUGAAAUUGUUGAAAUGGAAGGGUAGGCUGCUAACCAUGUAGAACCGUGUUUGGGGGGAAGAUAAAAGCUGCAGAACGUAACUCCUCGGAGCAUUAUAGCUGCAGUCCAUAUUCCCAUCCGAGCGCGAGGAUCUCAGGUUCUACUAAAUGGUGGUCUACCACCCGUCUUGACCAACCGGACCAA
rnacentral:rRNA from 1 species